GAUGAACGCUGGCGGCGUGCCUAAUACAUGCAAGUCGAGCGAACAGACGAGGAGCUUGCUCCUCUGACGUUAGCGGCGGACGGGUGAGUAACACGUGGAUAACCUACCUAUAAGACUGGGAUAACUUCGGGAAACCGGAGCUAAUACCGGAUAAUAUAUUGAGCCGCAUGGUUCAAUAGUGAAAGACGGUUUUGCUGUCACUUAUAGAUGGAUCCGCGCCGCAUUAGCUAGUUGGCAAGGUAACGGCUUACCAAGGCAACGAUGCGUAGCCGACCUGAGAGGGUGAUCGGCCACACUGGAACUGAGACACGGUCCAGACUCCUACGGGAGGCAGCAGUAGGGAAUCUUCCGCAAUGGGCGAAAGCCUGACGGAGCAACGCCGCGUGAGUGAUGAAGGUCUUCGGAUCGUAAAACUCUGUUAUUAGGGAAGAACAAAUGUGUAAGUAACUAUGCACGUCUUGACGGUACCUAAUCAGAAAGCCACGGCUAACUACGUG
rnacentral:rRNA from 1 species